rnacentral:misc_RNA from 1 species
GGAAGAUAGUGAAUUUAUUAUCUUUUCUUUCUUUUUCUUUUGCAGAAACCUAAAAUGAAAAAUCAAUGAAAGUCAAUUGAAAUCAAUUUCUCGAUAGCUAGAGCAAUAAAACAGCUAAAAAAAAGUUUCUCCAGUCCACUACAUAACAUAAUAAUAAACAACAACAAAUUUUCAAAAGAAAAUAAAUUUCCAAGCUUUGCUUUGAAUAGGGCACUUCUAAA